rnacentral:rRNA from 1 species
CAGUCGCCGCGGGAAUACGAAGGGGGCUAGCGUUGUUCGGAUUUACUGGGCGUAAAGCGCACGUAGGCGGACUUUUAAGUCAGGGGUGAAAUGCCAAGGCUCAACCUUGGAACUGCCUUUGAUACUGGCGAUCUUGAGUUCGGGAGAGGUGAGUGGAACUGCGAGUGUAGAGGUGAAAUUCGUAGAUAUUCGCAAGAACACCAGUGGCGAAGGCGGCUCACUGGCCCGGAACUGACGCUGAGGCUCGACAGCGUGGGGAGCAAACAGGAUUAGAUACCCGCGUAGUCCCUGUCUCUUAUAC